rnacentral:sRNA from 1 species
GCUUCGAGAUUGCGGAGAGCUUUUUUAACUCCGUGUACUGUCGGUUAUUUGACCACCGCUCGCUUACUCCCGAGCGGCUUUUUAU